rnacentral:rRNA from 1 species
UCUUGGCCAGCCUUCUGAAAGGAAGAUUAAUACAGGAUGGCAUCAUGAGUCCACAUGUUCACAUGAUUAAAGGUAUUCCGGUAGACGAUGGGGAUGCGUUCCAUUAGAUAGUAGGCGGGGUAACGGCCCACCUAGUCUUCGAUGGAUAGGGGUUCUGAGAGGAAGGUCCCCCACAUUGGAACUGAGACACGGUCCAAACUCCUACGGGAGGCAGCAGUGAGGAAUAUUGGUCAAUGGGCGAGAGCCUGAACCAGCCAAGUAGCGUGAAGGAUGACUGCCCUAUGGGUUGUAAACUUCUUUUAUAAAGGAAUAAAGUCGGGUAUGCAUACCCGUUUGCAUGUACUUUAUGAAUAAGGAUCGGCUAACUCCGUGCCAGCAGCCGCGGUAAUACGGAGGAUCCGAGCGUUACCCGGAUUUAUUGGGUUUAAAGGGAGCGUAGAUGGAUGUUUAAGUCAGUUGUGAAAGUUUGCGGCUCAACCGUAAAAUUGCAGUUGAUACUGGAUGUCUUGAGUGCAGUUGAGGCAGGCGGAAUUCGUGGUGUAGCGGUGAAAUGCUUAGAUAUCACGAAGAACUCCGAUUGCGAAGGCAGCCUGCUAAGCUGCAACUGACAUUGAGGCUCGAAAGUGUGGGUAUCAAACAGGAUUAGAUACCCUGGUAGUCCACACGGUAAACGAUGAAUACUCGCUGUUUGCGAUAUACGGCAAGCGGCCAAGCGAAAGCGUUAAGUAUUCCACCUGGGGAGUACGCCGGCAACGGUGAAACUCAAAGGAAUUGACGGGGGCCCGCACAAGCGGAGGAACAUGUGGUUUAAUUCGAUGAUACGCGAGGAACCUUACCCGGGCUUAAAUUGCACUCGAAUGAUCCGGAAACGGUUCAGCUAGCAAUAGCGAGUGUGAAGGUGCUGCAUGGUUGUCGUCAGCUCGUGCCGUGAGGUGUCGGCUU